GUCUACUUGACUGGCCACCAAGAUGCAUGCCAGUACAUGCAUCCUCCGAUGGCAGAGACCAGAUAGGUCGCAAAACCAAGCUCUCAAGACAUAGAACAAGAUAAAAGGCCUGGACAACAGGCUUAUAGAGAUGCCUGUGUCUUAUGACAAACAACAAAAAGACAGAGACAAGGAAAAGUACUAUCUCUGGGAGGAAAAGGAUCUACAACCAGUGAGUACUCAAUCAAAUCCUAGAGUUGCUGAAUCCAAGAAGCUAGCCUCACCAACAUUUUCUUCUGCUAAUCUAAAAUUAGAAGAGCAAAAAAACUCACCACUCUUGCUUCCAUUGGACCCUGCAGGCAGAGAUCUGGGAGACUGAUGUGGCAAGAACUCUUACCUCUUGCUGACUCUCUUCAGGGGUCUGGGAUCUCUUGGCUGCAGCAGUCCAGGAGCAAGCAGUGCCCAGCCAGUGAAAUUUUAUCCUGCCCAAGUCGCCAAACUGUAAGGGAGGAAGACAUUUCCUCUACCCACUGUGUGUUCUUCUGGCCAGAGAAUGAAUUUAAUUCACAUGAGACAGAAUGACAGGAGAAAAUUAAACAAAGCUUUAUAACAUGCAUACAUGGGAGAGGCUCAGGCAACCUGAGCAACUUGCCAAAAUGGCUGAAGCCCCCACCUUAAAUAUCAUCUUCAGCUAAAGACAAGGGAGGAUGUUGGGGGUGGGGGAAGUCAGCUACAGGAGGUUACCAGACAAGUACAAUAAACAGGAACAAGAUUAUUAUGCGGAUUUAAGUCCUUGCCUUCUGCAUUGAUAAGAGUUUCUAGAGAUAAGGUCAUUCCCCUUCUUCCUGGUGCAGAGAGGGAGGAAACUUUGCAGAUGGAGAUUUCCUUUACAGUGUAAAUGUCUCUUAACAAAGGGUAGUAAAUUCUACUCCUCAGAGCUCCUUGCCUAUCUGCAGUUUAUUAAAAGUAACCAGCCCCAAAUAACCCUCAUGCCAAAGAGACAUAUCUUGGGGUAGCAAAUUCCAGUCCCCCACACUUUCUUUCCAAAUCCAGGCCCAUUGGUUUUUGACCCUUCCUAGCCCAGAGAGAGCUAUUGCCUUCUUGCUUGCCUCAUUUUGUAUCCAAAGGGCUUGGCUUUCUGCCUGCCAGGGAUAUUCAGGCUGUUGGUUCUUUGUGGGGGGGGGCAGGGAUCUUUGGGAAUGACUGGAUCUUAGGAAGGUAGUAACAUUUGAGGGCACCUCUUAUAUCCCUGGAAUUGUUUAAUACUGUCAGAAAUACUUAGAAAGAUUUUUCUAGUAGCUUUAUGGUAAAAAAUUGGCCAAAUUGGAAGCUGAUAUUGGAGUCUGAUAGGAAUUUUGAUUGGCCUUCUUCCAUAAGUUAAAAUAAAACCAUGUACUCAGAGGGAAAGAAGUAAAUUAAGGAUGUUGUAGCUGGACCAGUAGAUCAAAUGAUGAUGCCAUUUAAGUUACAACCCAAAUUCUGAGGAAUUAAGAGCAACUGUCCUUUUUAUCUUUGCAAAACUGGAAAUACAGCUCUAGAGGCAGUUCAGAUUCCACCAUUCUCUUUCAUCAAUCCCCAAAACCUCCCCUAUUUAUCUCAAAAGGCUUGUAACUUCUUCAGAAACUCUUAUUUAGACCAUCCUCAAUUCAUAAGGCUGAAGAAAAAAAGGAAGAAAGAGGCAAACAAGUAUAGAAGCACCCUUGCCCCAAAUCUAGCAUCUGAAGCGUCAUCUCCACAAAUAUUAGUAGAAAAAGCUUUGGCCAUCUAAGCAGAUAUAAAGAAUAUAUUUUUUCUCCUAAGCCAACUAUGACAAUAACAAUUGGUAAAUUAUGGCUUUGUAAGCAUAAUUGAAACAUUUAUCUACUUCUCCGUACCUGAUCCCUCAAGAAUUCAGAAAUUUAAAAUGCUUCUUAUUAAAUACCUGGUUGCUUGCAUCAUAGGCUUAACUUUGGGAUCCCAUCUGUAUCACUGUAUCCUGAAAUUGGAGACCACUGUUGAAUUGGACUAACCUAUUCUUUAAGCCAAGAGACUGGCUCAAGGAGAUGGAGCAACCUACCAACUCAACUUCUGGAAUGUAAAACUUGUCAUGAAGUUUCAAAGGCAGGAGUAAAGGGGUUCAAAACUGCCUCCCCAAGAUAUGCCACUUUGGAAUGUGGACUAUUUUGAGCUAAAGGCAAUCGAGACCCUAAAGUCUCAAGAAAAAUUUUAUACCUUUUUGAAGAAUUUAAAUUGGGAGCUUUGACCAUAAUAAGAGUUAUUACAGAAAUAAACUUUUACGACCUGUCUGUAUGGCAGGGGAAAUCUCUAACUACUGAAUACUUGCUCUUUUUAUCAUUCUGUGAAUUACCUUCCUCCCCUCUGAAGACUCAGGCCCCUAAUCUAUCCCUUAGCUCAAGAUGGCAUAUAUACCUCAUUUUACCUUUCUCUCUCUAAAUCUCUCAUGUAUUAGGUAUUCCUAUAUGUAUGAAAUUAAAUAUGAUUUUC
rnacentral:lncRNA from 1 species